rnacentral:tmRNA from 1 species
GGGGCUGAUUCUGGAUUCGACGGGAUUUGCGAAACCCAAGGUGCAUGCCGAGGGGCGGUUGGCCUCGUAAAAAGCCGCAAAAAAUAGUCGCAAACGACGAAAACUACGCUUUAGCAGCUUAAUAACCUGCUUAGAGCCCUCUCUCCCUAGCCUCCGCUCUUAGGACGGGGAUCAAGAGAGGUCAAACCCAAAAGAGAUCGCGUGGAAACCCUGCCUGGGGUUGAAGCGUUAAAACUUAAUCAGGCUAGUUUGUUAGUGGCGUGUCCGUCCGCAGCUGGCAAGCGAAUGUAAAGACUGACUAAGCAUGUAGUACCGAGGACGUAGGAAUUUCGGACGCGGGUUCAACUCCCGCCAGCUCCACCA